UAAAAAAUAGAAAAAUAGAGAGUUUGUGAAAUUAGUGAGGAAGUGUAUUCGUGACAUAUAGCACCUCUCUCAAAUUAUUUUAUAUUUAUUUGUUUCCUUUGUACUCCUGAGAAACAACAAUUGAUCAAAUAAAUCUCUUGAAAUGUAAACCACAUGUUACAUUGCUGAUAGAAAACAAUUGUCUGAUCCGGCCACAGACCCUCGACAAUAACUCUAGUAGCAGUAUCCUAAACUAGGAAUAAUUAAUCGCGAUAUUUUACCUUGAAUUGAAUUUUCUUUGACAAGUUGAGCACAAUCUUCCAAUAAACCUUCACUCAUGUCAUCGAUAGUGACCUAUGAGCAGCCCGGCAUAAACAUGGGCUGAAGACAUCUUAUUAACAUGGAACCUACAAAAGACAUAACAGAUUUAGACAAAAAAAAAAAAUAGUAAUAAUGGGAAGAUAUUUGACUUUUCUUUAUUUCUUUUUGCAAGUUUUGUACAAGCUUUUGGCAGUUUGUAAUACAGAAUAACCCAAAUAUGCCUCAUAUAUUUGCUACAGGUCCACGUGUUCGUUAGGUAUGAUACAGAUCGUCAUGAUAACCUAACACCAAAAUUUCUAGUGGUGAGGAACCAUAAAGAUCAAAGUUAAUAAAAUUUCAACAACUACAUCCAGUAGUGAACUUUUGUCCUAUGAAUCUGAAGGUGGAGAUUCCUUGUAGUUUUUAUAUUGCUUCAAACAUGAAAAGUUACAUUUCUCCUAUGCAAUGGGAAGCUUAUACACACAUAAAUCAGCCAAACAACUAAACACAUACAUUGCCAAGUGAACUUUUGCACUAUUACAGGUUUCUAAUAGCUCUGAUAGCC
rnacentral:lncRNA from 1 species